rnacentral:rRNA from 1 species
UACGUAGGUGGCAAGCGUUGUCCGGAAUGAUUGGGCGUAAAGGGCGUGUAGGCGGCUUUGUAAGUGGGUGGUGUAAACCGGCGGCUCAACCGCAGGAUUGCCAUCCAAACUGCAAAGCUUGAGUGCGGUAGAGGGCAGUGGAAUUCCCGGUGUAGCAGUGAAAUGCGUAGAGAUCGGGAGGAACACCAGUGGCGAAGGCGACUGCCUGGGCCGUAACUGACGCUGAGGCGCGAAAGCUGGGGGAGCAAACGGG